UUUGCACAUUCUUAAAACCCUGAGCUGAGGUCAGUUGCUGGCCAGUGAACUCUGGGUGUCGGAGAUGUGCUACACUAAGUUGGCAGGUAUUUCGCUAACACCACUAGAGUCUCUAACUUGAUGAGUGGGGUUUGAUAGUAGUUCCUGCUACAUAA